rnacentral:rRNA from 1 species
UCCUUAGUAACGGCGAGCGAAGUGGGAACCAGCCCAGGUCUGGAAUCUCCCGGUCGGCUCAAGACUUGGCCGGGCGAAUUGUGGUCUGGAGAGGCAGACUGUCCUGCUCCACCGCCUGCGAGCCCGAAGUUGACUUGGAACGGCACGCCAAAGAGGGUGAUAGCCCCGUAGGGCAUGGAAAUCGCUAGCGGCAGGACGAGGGUCUGUACUCGUAGAGUCGGGUUGUUUGGGAAUGCAGCCCAAAGUGGGUGGUAGACUCCAUCCAAGGCUAAAUACGGGCGCGAGACCGAUAGCUGACAAGUACCGUGAGGGAAAGGUGAAAAGCACUUUGAAGAGAGAGUUCAAUAGACCGUGAAACCGUUGGUAGGGAAGCUCAGGGUGUCGAGGUUGUCGUGCUUCAAUCGGGUUCAUCUGGUGGUGUCGCCGCUGCCGGUGCAUUUCCGGUUGAAGUUGGACCGUCAGUCGGGAAGAGACUGGGGUCUGCUUAUCGGCUACAGGGAGGUGGGCAGUGGGUUGGCCUCGGCCUCUCAUUGUCACAUAUAGCCUGUGGUCGUGGCCUCAGUUGUCUUUCAGGUGUGUUGGACGGCUAAUCGUCCAUAAUGGGUAGGUGCAGCCUCUCCUCGUGGGGGAUCGGGCCUGCCUCAUGGUUGCUGGAUGUUGUGAUGCGUGUGUUCCGUGCUUUCGCCGUUUGAUUCGUUCGGCGGUGUGGGGUACGGCACUGCCCGCAACAGUCUUGUCCCAUGUGGUAGUGUUCAUGUACUGUGCCAAGGUGACUGG